CGCGUAGGCGGCUUUGUAAGUCGGAUGUGAAAGCCCCGGGCUUAACCUGGGAAUUGCAUUCGAUACUGCAUAACUAGAGUAUGGUAGAGGGAAGUGGAACUUCCGGUGUAGCGGUGAAAUGCGUAGAUAUCGGAAGGAACACCAGUGGCGAAGGCGACUUCCUGGGCCAAUACUGACGCUGAGGUGCGAAAGCGUGGGGAGCAAACA
rnacentral:rRNA from 1 species